rnacentral:rRNA from 1 species
AUACGUAGGUGGCAAGCGUUGUCCGGAUUUAUUGGGCGUAAAGCGAGCGCAGGCGGUUUCUUAAGUCUGAUGUGAAAGCCCCCGGCUCAACCGGGGAGGGUCAUUGGAAACUGGGAGACUUGAGUGCAGAAGAGGAGAGUGGAAUUCCAUGUGUAGCGGUGAAAUGCGUAGAUAUAUGGAGGAACACCAGUGGCGAAGGCGACUCUCUGGUCUGUAACUGACGCUGAGGCUCGAAAGCGUGGGGAGCAAACAGGAUUAGAUACCCUGGUAGUCCACGCCGUAAACGAUGAGUACUAAGUGUUGGAGGGUUUCCGCCCUUCAGUGCUGCAGCUAACGCAUUAAGCACUCCGCCUGGGGAGUACGACCGCAAGGUUGAAACUCAAAUGAAUUGACGGGG